rnacentral:rRNA from 3 species
AUAUAACGACUCUCGGCAACGGAUAUCUCGGCUCUCGCAUCGAUGAAGAACGUAGCGAAAUGCGAUACUUGGUGUGAAUUGCAGAAUCCCGUGAACCAUCGAGUCUUUGAACGCAAGUUGCGCCCGAAGCCAUCAGGUUGAGGGCACGUCUGCCUGGGCGUCACGC